UUACAGUAACUCGCCUAGAUUAACAUCAUUUUGAGAGAGGCAGCAUUCGAAUCCAGGCAGCGCGACCUGAGCCUGCACUCAAAAGCACUCGACUGGGCAAAGAAAUCAGGAAAAUUGGUGAUUUCUCCGAGAGCCCGGGCAACUUCAGGGAACAGUGAUGAGUUGAAGGUACAGAAGGUGCAGAGGAAGUGGCCAAGAGAAGGCUGUAGAAACUGGCAGAGAAGUUUGCCCGUCUCCGAGCUGGAUCACAUAGCCGAAGUCCCGGGAACCGGGCGGAAAAGAGCCUGACAGACAGCUUCCGGAGCACGACCGGACCCUUGGGGAACACAGGCACAUACCGGAAGUGACGUUACCUAACGGACAGUGGGGAGGAAUUCCGACAGGACAAGACGUACAGGAAGUUACGUCAUGGGGCGGUACUUGGCCGUGGAGGGCGUCGCGAUGGGCGGGGCGAGGCUUCAGAGGUCCGCUUGGAGCUUUGGAUCCAGGGCAGGUAACCUGCGGGCUCAGACCUGGACAGGGGCGGUAGCUGGAAUUAGUGGCCUGGGUCGCUCGGGGUCCCAAGCUCGGGCGGGGAGAGGUGGCUGUCACGUUCUGUGGUGGCUGCAGGAAAGAUUCCUUGGCAUGGGACCCUCUGAGGGCAUAGGGAUACGAGGAACUCUUGGGGACGGGGUUAUAGAGCCGAGGUCGUCGGAGAAAUAAGGACAAGCUGAAUCUUCAAGGAGUCGGGACUGGGGGUCAUGGGCUCUCAAGCAUAGGCGCUCGGGGGCGGAGAAACGGGGACUGGAGAUGAGCUGAUCCACCGACCCUCACUGUCACCCCCGCUCUCCUAAGAAGGGCUCUGGGAUUACGUCUGUUCCUCUCUGUCCAUAGGGCAGUGCAACCUUGCCACUGUGAGGAAUUCUGUCUUUAGAUGCCGACGAAUGAAUGAAUGAGUGAGUGAAUGAACAAACUGACCUGAUUCUGGCUCAGCGGGGCAGUUCUCCCAAGGCCCAGUACCCCUCCGCGGGGAGAUGACUACUUUAGCUUUCUAGCCAGUGGUUUCUGAGGUGCCAGUGCAGUAGAGACCCAGGACACUAUUGUUUUUUUGUGGUUACUGCAAUUUAGAAAUGUGUCUUAAUACUUUUUCUGCUGUGUGUGGAGAAGCUAAGACAAUUAAUUUGGCUUCUUUCAUGUUCCUUUACUUUUCUUGGAAGAACUUAGAGGUGAGUAAUACUGGGGACCAGCUGGCCAUCACAUAAGCUGUAGCUGUGGCACUGAGUUUCUCAUUAGCAUUCUGAGUGCUUUCUUUUCAGCAACAGAAACCCACUUUGCUCUUUCUUACUGUUUUCUUUCCUAGAUUGGGAUACUUCUUACAUUUCAGAUGUAAAUGAGAAUUGUUUCAUAACAAAAAUGAAAAUAGUAAUUAAUAAAAAUUCUAUCAGAGGUUUCAUCUGGUGUGUGUUGAUAGGGUCACUAUGAAUCGGAAUCUGCUCAACAGCAGCGGGUUUUGGUGUACACAUAAGGUUAACUCCUGCCAAAUAGUUGUAGGGGGUCUCAGAAUAAAUCUUCGAGAAUUAAAUUGUUUUUCCAUUGUACAGUGUUUAUUUGUUGUGGUUGUUAGGUGCCGUCCAGUCGGUUCUGACUCAUAGAGACCCUGUGUACAACAGAAGGAAACACUGUCCAGUCCUGCGCCAUCCUCACAGUUGUUUUCUGAGCUUGAGCUCAUUGUUGCAGCCCUGUGUCAAGCUAUCUUGUUAAGAAUCUUCCUUUCUUUUCUCUGACCCUCUACUUUACCAAAAUUAUGUCUUUCUCCAGGAACUGGUUCUCCUUAUCAGUAUGUGAGAUGAAGUCUCACCAUCCUCGUUUCUAAGGAGCAUUUCUGGCUGUACUUCCAAGACAGAUUUGUUCAUUCUUCUGGAUUAUUCAGUAUUCUUUGCCAACACCAAAUUCAAAGGCAUCAGUUCUUCUUCGGUCUUCCUUAUUUAUUGUCCAGCUUUUGCAUGCAUGUGAGGAGAUUGAAAAUACCAUGGCUUGGGUCAGGUGCACUUUAGUCCUUAAGGUGGUGUAUUUGCUUUUGAACACUGUAAAGAGGUAUUUGGCAGCAGAUUUGCUCAAUGUGGUAUGUCAUUUGAUUUCUUAACUACUGUUUCCAAGGGCAUUAAUCAUGGAUCCAAGUAAAAUGAAAUUCUUGACAACUUCAAUCUUUUCUCCAUUUAUCAUGAUGUGGCUUAUUGGUCCAGUUGUGAGGAUAUUUGUUUUCUUUAAGUUGAGGCAUAAUCCAUACUGAAGGCUGUGUUCUUUGAUCUUCAUCUUCAAGUUCUCUUCCCUUUAAAAAAGCAAGAUUGUAUGGUCUGCAUAUCCCAGGUUGUUAAUGAGUAUUUAAGUGAUGGACGUGGGUGUAGACCUAAAAAACAAGUACUGUAACCAGAUUGCUUGUGUUCAUCAAGUGGAUAAAAGUGCAGGCAACAAAUCAGGCUGUGCAGUGGGAUCUGGGCAUGCUCAGUAACUGGACGCAGUUCCAGCGAGGUGACUGUGUGUAUGGGCUUCAUGCUGUCUAAAGAGAUAGACUAAAACCUGCGAAAGCCAGAACCUGUGUAAGGUGGAAACCUGUCAGAGAAGGAAAAACGCAAAUAUUUUCCACUAAUAGAGAGCAAUAGAAAAGUGAUAAGACCGCAACCUGCCAAAGGCAGAAAACUUGGACGGAAAAACAAGGCAGUUCCAUCAAGUUCCAGCUCUCACAGGUUUCACUGUAGUAGCUAUUGAGAGGGUCCAAAAUCUUAUCAUUAGAUCAGAUGUAAUGGGGCAGAAAAUCUGAAUUUAUGGCAUAUUUUUCACAAAGAAGAAACUAGUAAGCAUUUUUAGGUUUAAAAUCUUAGAUGUUCUUAACAUAGGUUGAAACUUUCCCCCAAAGUAGACAAGUUUUUAUUUAAAUGACAUGUAGUAUACUAGUGCAUGUCAUUUAAAUAUAAAAAAAAAGGUCGCUAUGAGUUGGAAUCGACUCAAUGGCAGUGGGUUUUUUCACCUUUAAAACUUGCUUCUUCACUUCUGGAAAGUGCUGACAAGUUGGAAGUAAUGUCCAAAUUUACUCCUUCUUUGUGUGCCCUUACUGUGGUGCUGGAGUCCCUGUAUGGUGCAUAUGGUUACUCACUGGACUGUUGGCUAAAAGGUCAGUGGUUCAAACCCACCCAGAGGUGCCUCAGAAGAUAGGCCUGGUGAUCUGCUUCCAAAAGGUCACAGCCCUUAAAAACCCAAUGGAGCCCAGUUCUAUUCUGACACACACAGGGUUGCUAUGAGUCGGAAUCAACUUGAUGGCAACUAACACCACCAGUAUGGUGCCACCUUUCGGAUACAUAUAAAUAUUGUACAAAGAAAAGUUUUGAGAUCCUCUGAAUUUAUGCUCAUGUUAAAAUGUCUUGGGAGCCCUGGUGAUGCAGUGGUUAAGAGCUCAGCCGCUAACCAAAAGGUUGGCAGUUUGAAUCUACCGGCUGUUCCUUGAAAUUCCUGUGGGGCAGCUCUACUCUGUCCUGUAGGGUUGCUGUGAGUCAGAGUCGACUCGACAGCAAUGGACUGAUGUCUUAAAAAUAAAGCCUAGUUUUGCUGCUUCAGUUUGCUGUUCAAUGUCAUAUCCAUUAAGUUUUGCACAUCUAGAUAUCCAUAACUGUUACUUCACGAUGAAGUGGUAUCUAAGCGAUAAUGUAGGCAAAUACGUUGACGUUUUUGAGGUUUUCAGUUUUGCAGAGCACUGGUAUCUGUGGACUCUAACAUGGACUUCAUUUAAAGAAACCUGCGGACCAUUAAAGGACAAAAAUAUGAAUCAGUUUGUAUUGUGGCACUCAUAGCCCUUUGGGAGAGGUAAGUUCUUGACUGUUUUAUGUUAGGUGAGAAGUACAACAGCCCUGGGCUGGCCUAGGAAAUUUAAGAUUAUAACUGAAAAAUAUAGGCCUAAUAUCUUUAAAUUAUGUUUUAAUCAGGACCUCCCAAAGAGAGGUUUGCUUUGUAUAUAUGAAGCAGGUGUUAAUGUUUCCCUGUCAAAUUGAUUAGAAAUGAGUGAGAUUGACUAGGUCCGUUGUUCCUAGAAGCUUACUGCUCUGCCUUCUUUUUGGGGGCAGUCUUUUCAAUACUGUAGAUCACAGUGGAAAUAAAACAACUUAUGGGUACCUUGUAGGAAUAAAGCCUCAGAUAGCCACUUAAAUCAUCUUGUAACCAAAUUUGGUUCUGUAAUUUUAUAUGUCCCAAUUUUUCUGAUCAAUUUCAUUUUAUCCUUAGGUUUAAGAAAGAAAAGAGGCCAACAAAUGUCUUUUUUUUUCCUUCUUUCUUUAUCCUGCCUUAUACAGCCUUUUUUUUUUUUUUUUUAAAAAAAAGGUGAUUUAUUCUCCAAAGCUUUUGUCUUUCUGUCCCAGGGGUUAAAGUUUCUCUUUUUUCCGUUUUACCUUUCCUAAUUUAAAUGUCUUCUCCGUCCCUUAAUUUUCAAAACCUUUACUUCUAACUUUGUGUUAAUGUUUGGUGCCUUUUAAUCACUAAACACUAAACUUACAAUGUUUCCUGGUCUCCUUUGUAGAUACGUUGGCUCCUUGUUUAGAAUUUGCUCAACUCUAAAAGCAGGAGGUACUUCCAGGCAUUCAUCCUUCAGAUAUAUUUGUGUAUGUGCACAAAAAUUUGCAUACAAAGACACGGUUAGCUCCUAGACUGACUGACUAGACGGAAAGGCCUGGCAAUCUAUUUCUGACAGUUAGCCGCAUCGAGUACCAAGUUUUUGAAGACCAUGGCUUACCAUCAUUAGGCAUUCAAGAUGCGAGUCUGAAUAACCCCGUCAAGACUCAGAGCCUCUUCAAAAGCUUCAAGUGUCACCUGCAUUAAAGCUCUCCAUUGAACCCUCCCACAAAAGUAAAAGCUUAAGGGGACUCCAAUCCAUUAAUACAGUCCAUUUUAUAUCCUCUCGUCUGACUUCUCUUCCAUUUCAGGUCAUAAUGCUCUUGUCCCUUUAGACCAGAGCCAAAGAAAUGGUGCUUUGCAAAAAAUGCACGGUCCGUGGCCAUACGUUUUCACCGGUAGAAAAGUAUAAACCCAGCAUGAGAAGUUUAGAAUCAGGUCUUUUGUUGUAUCCCAAGAUAAAUAACUUGAGUCAACAAUGAGAAAAUGAGAAUAAAGAAGUAAAAAUUACUAAGUUUAGGUUAUACUCAGAGGCUGUGUGGUUUAGAGAAAAAGCCCUCAACCUAAAAUUUCUCAGUUCUUAUUUUGUCUCUGCCCUUUACUAGGUAUGUGGUGACUGGGACAGUCACUUACCCUGCCUUAGACCUUAGAUUCGUCAUCUGUAAAGUGAGUCUGAUGAUCUUCUCCCUGCCUGCCUUACAGGGUUGUUGUGAGAUAAAAUGAGACACUGUACAUAAAGAGGACUUUAUCUAAAAUGUGAAAUAGCGACGUAGAUAGGGCCCCAUUCUAUGGUGGCAGGUCAUUUCUCUCAGCCUGUAGGCCUGGAAAGGUAGGUAACAUAAGCGCACUGAAAGCCUGCACUGUGUCCAUGCUGGAAAAUGGCAUGAAGGCUAAGUUCAACUUUUUUCCUCUGGUUUAAAUAGAAUGCUAUUAAGGGAUUAAUUCUAAGAAGGAGUGUGGUUGUAAAUUUCCCUUAAAUUAUAAGCCUCUGGAGCAGUUACAGAGUGGAACACAUUCCUGGUUUGUAAAACCUGUUUACUAAGUCACAACCAGCAGUUUUUUUUUUUUUUUUAAUGAAAAAACAAACAGAAAAUUUUCCAAUGCAUCCCACACGGCGAGAGUAAAUAUUGUUUUAGUUACAUCUGUGUGUGUGUGUUUGUAUUUGUGUCCUUGGUCAUUGAAUAAAAUGCCUUUUUUUCCUGCCAGCUACAACCACUGUCCUAGGAGUGUCCCUUUAGUCCUAAGGCCUUUCUACACCUUUGGGCCCUUAGAUUCGGGGUUUCUUCUCACAUCAUACUACUGCUUGUGACAAAGGCAUUAACAAUAUCAAUUUGACUUUUUUGUCUGACUGAUGAGGUAUUUUUUAUUUCAUAGCACAGAGAAGGUCUGUCGGCCUUAAAUGGGUAUUUUAUUUAAUAUUUUCGUACUGUCUUCUCUGACACCUAGACUUCUAUGGCCUUUAACAAUUCAACCUCACACUAGUAGACAGAUCAUGUUAAAUGUUUUUCUUUGAAAAUUUAAAAAUUUUUUCUCCCUGGCCUAAUGGAACAUGAAAAUCUCCCACUUGGUUUAGCAUUGUUUGAGAACUCAGUGGAGAGAAGCUAUAGAGAGUAUCGUUAGUAUGACUGGGGAUUUGAUGAUCUUUAGAAGAGAAAAUGUCAAUUUUUUUUUUCCCCCUGAAUACCUAAAUUUAUCUUUAGAUGAGUGAUUUAAGACAAACAAGUCACUGCCAUUAACUUGUUCAACUGGCAUUGAAUUAAUUUAUUCAAUUUCGGGAAAACCCUAAAAAAAGAUAUCUCGCCCUUUGGUGAUAGCAUGGUCAGGAAUAGAUGACUUUCACACUCUCCGUGAAUGACGGGGAACGGUUUCUUCCUCCAAGGAGUGUGCAUUCCGAUUCAUUGAUGAGGAACUAACUGCAGGUGCUUUAGUGCACCGAACUGCUGGAUUUAGGGUACUGGGAUUACUCAUGUGGCUUUGAUGGAAGGUUGCGGAAAAUGCUGAUUUUCCCUGCUUACAACUUAUAUAAAUGUAUACAGUCCUAGCACCACGAAUACCCAUCAGAAGAUUUAAAAUGUAGAAUCUAACUGCUUCAUUUCCCCUGAACACUAAUGGCCAGACUUCAUGCCUUAGUGGAGACAGAAUGAGUUGCAUAGAUUGUACAAGUUGAGGUGCUUAUUUGUAUGACAGUUGGCAGCUGUGGCGUAAAGCCUCAUUACUUCUAUGGCCAACUUUGUGUUCUCUCUCGCAAAAAAAUUACAUUUGGCAUUUGCUACCUCUCCGUGUAGAAAGGAGCAUCUACCCAUGACAAAGGUCAAGAAAAGUAAUUAGACAACCUUAGCCAUCCUUGAUCAUUCUUUCCUCAGCCCUCAUACCUAGCCUGUCAUAAAAUUCUGCCUUUUCAACCUCCUAAGUAUCUUUCAAGGAGCCCUGGUUGCUCAGUAGUCAAGAGCCAGGCUGCUUACCAAAAGGCCGGCAGUUCAAAUCCACCAGCUGCUCCUUAGAAACACUAUGGGGCAGUUCUACUUUGUCCUAUAGGGUCGCUAUGAGUCAAAAUCGACUUGAUGGCAAUUCUUUUUUUUUUAAAUGUCUUUCAAAGUAUCCAUCUCUUUCUGUUCUCCUUCCCAUCAUCUUUAUUUGUGCUUCCAUCGUGUUUGCCUGCACUUCUGCUGUACAGGCCUUAUUUUACAUGUGUCUUCAGAGAAGCCUUCCCUUACACCCCACACUAGAUUAGACUUCCUCCCCCAUUAUUUUUUCACAAACCACCCGGUUUUUCUCACACCUAGCAUAUGCGUAAUUAUUUGCAUAAUCGCUUGUUAAUAAUCUUACCCACAAGACUAAAGCUUCGUGAGGGCAGGAACUGGUGUUUGUUUUAUUAACCACUCUAUCUUCAGUGGGGAGCCCUGGUGGCUCAGUGGCUAAGAGCUCAGCUGCUAACCAAAAGCUUGGCAGUUCAAAUCCACCAACUGUCUCUUGGAAACCCUACGGGACAAUUCUCCUCUGUCCUUUAGGGUCACUAUAAGUCGAAAUCGAAGGCAACGGGUUUAGUAUCCACAGUCUUCAGGGAUAUGCCUAGCAGAUAGCAGGGAUUCAGUAAAUACUUUUGGACAGCCACCACUCCGUUCCCUAAGUUAUGUCAGGUGCUGUAAAUUCUUCCAGGUUGUUUAACUUCUCUUCAGAACCCUCCAGUUGCUUCCUGUCUCGCUCCAGGUAUAAGCCAAUGACCUUGUUAUGGUCUCCAGGGCCUAAUAUGAUCUGCGCCUCUCUCCCUUUACCUCUGUCACCAUUUAACAGCCUAUCCAAGCCACCCUGGUCUCCUAGCUGACCUCAGAGAUGCCAAGCUUUCUUUUGCCUUGGGACCUUUGUACUCGAUGAUCCUAGUGCUUGGCUUGUUCUUGACUUAGCUAUCCAUCUGGAUCAAUCCCUCAUAUCCCUCAGUUCCCUCAGGCCAUGAGAUGUCACCUCAGGGAAGCCUUCUUUCUUCACCCUAUUUAAAACUAUAACCUCACGGUCACCCCGUGACAUCACUGUUCCCUUUCUUUUUUCUUUUUCCAUGCCACUGAUCUCUGACUGGAAACCCUGGUGGCGUAAUGGUUAAGAGCUACAGCUGCUAACCAACAGGUCAGCAGUUCGCAUCCACUAGGCGCUCCUUGAAAACUCUGUGGGGCAGUUCUACUCUGUUCUAUAGGGUUGCUAUGAGUCGGAGUCAACUUGACGGCAACAAGUUUUUUUACUCUCUGGGUGACAUGCUGUCUGUGUUUGGUACCCAGAAUGUGCCUUACAUGUGGGAGGUACUGAGAAAAUAUUUAUGAAAUGAAUGGAUUUAACCUGUACUCACAGAGGUGCAUAUUUGGGACAAUGAAUCCUGUAACCCAAAUUAUGGGGCUUAAAAAGCUGAGUUAAUUAAAUUUAUGCCCUGCCUCGUUCUAAAAAAAUAUUUGAGGUGGCUUCUAAAAAUGUAUGUAGUAAAUGGGACAAAGAUCUAUAAAGAGAACAAAACAGAGAACGUGAUGGUAAUUUUAAAAUGCAUAAAGUUAAUGCAUAAAAGGUCCUGCAUAGUGGCCAAAGGCAGGGUGUGAAUUUGACUCCUUGAAGAGCGAAGUUGGUGCUUCAGCAGCGCAUAUACUAGCAUUAGCUUGCUCAGAAAUGGUGACUGGACCGGAAUCAGGAACUUUGUCAUGUGGCACAAGUUACAAACAUUUGAGUCUGGACAAUCUAUUUGAUUUAACUUGAAGAAAUCAUGAGAUUACUCUUCUAGAGAAGACUUGCUUUCUAAUUUAGGAAGAAAUCAUGAGAUUACUCUUCUAGAGAAGACUUGGUUUCCUAUAAAACAUACAUGGUUUCCCCGUUAUGAAGUCUCUGCUGUGUCUGGGAGAGAGCAGUCACGCCUACUAACCUCUGGUUGCGUCCAGGACAUUUCCAAGGUCAAUUCAAACUCAGUCAUUGAAUAUUUGUGAACGUCCACCGGUAAAGGUCCCCAACCAGCACAUUAGUUGCCCUGGUUUCUGAUCAUGAGAUAGCCUCAGAGUCCAGUGUUUGUGGCUCCCUUUUUGAGGUCAACAGUUGGUGACUUAGCAGUAAGCGUUUAUACAAUUAACUGAAUUGAGAUGGAGGAUGGGGAAUUACUUAAGUGAAUUAGACUUCAAAACAUCUUUGAGCAAUAUGGUAACCAACACCGGAGCGCUCUCCUAUGUGUGUGAAGUUAGAGGGGAAAUCAUACAGCACGUAUCUUUUUGUUCACGGUGCAUCUACUUCCCUCAUUCUGUUUUGUCCGGUUUUUGGUCAUUUAAAGCUGAGUCAGAGACUUGGAAUACCUGCAGGCCAGAUACAGAGCAGAGGAUGUGAGGGUGACCUGCUGGACUUUCGGUGAAUUCUACACUACUCCAGUAACACAGCUGGUUCUUCCAGGCAAAGGAUGAGAAUACUUAGCUAAGUGGUGUUCCACUGGCAAAAUAUGCUAACACUUACUUGACUUUUUCUUCUUUUUUUGCUCUUCUCCUGUCUUUGAUAUGGAGAUAAACAGUACUUUUGAAGUCAAAUCUUAUACCCCACCCCAUUUUUCAGGGUUGAAAGAAGGACACUAAACCAACAGUGGACUUUUAGGGAAAUGAUGGAAGCAUGCAUUUUUUUUUUUUUAAAUCAUUACAUUCAUUCUACGUAUUUCCAGGAAAAGAUAUGAGGAUACACAUUAAGAACACAACAGAACUAUUGAAAAGGACAUCAAAGGACAAACUUUGUAAAGGGAAGGUAAUUUUACUGAAAGAAUUAUGUAAAACUUGUUGCUGAUUAAAUGACCCUAUUUGGCUGUGCUUAUCUGAGCCCCUGGGUGUUGCAGAUGGUAACGAAGCACUCAGCUACUAAAGGAGAGUUGGCAGUUUGAACCCACCUAUAGGAGCCUCAGGAGAAAGGCCUACGAUCUUGUGAAAGUCACAGGGUGGAAAACCCUAUGGAGCGGCUCUACUUUGCACACACUUGACGGCAACUGGCUUUUUUGUCUUAAUGUGUAUUGCAGAUUCAUGUAUAGAAUAAAAAGUGAAGCAAAACCAAGGUACAGGUGAUUUAUGAAAUCCACUCGUUUAGAAAUGUUUAACGAUAAGCUUGGAACAUCAUAAUGUAAUAGCAUUUUCUUAUAUAACAUGUAAUUUGUGCCAAAAAAGAGAAAAUUAAGAGCCAUUAAUAAAUAGGUCAAAUGUGAUGUGAUUGAGGUGCGAUGAAUCGCUUUUAUAUGCCUUUCUCUCCAUGGUCUUAUAACUCCCACCCAAGUGACUGGGUGGGCCCAUGCAGAUAAGGUAAUUGUGGCCCACCAAGAGAAUUGGUCAGUUUUACCAUUCUGCUAGGCUUAAAAUGAUCCACCCCAAAGGCAGAAAGAGGGGAUCUCACCACCACUAAGAAAGAAGAGCCAGGAGUGGAGUACAUCCUUUGGACCCAGGAUCCCUGCACUGAGGAGCUCCUGGAACCAAGAGAGUGAGAGUGAGUGCCGAACCACGGAAAAUGGCACAAAGUGGUGGCAGAGAAACAGCAGCUGAACCAGGAGACAGUGCAGUGGGCUUCCUGGACCAUGGAGCAAGAAAGCUGAGUGCCUUCAGGCGGGAGGCUUGCUACCAGAGUAGGGUGCCUCUGUGGAGCUAGGUUUGCAGACCCACAGAGGGCCCACAGGCUGAGGCUUACUGGUGGAGUUGGGUGCCUCUGGGCAGUUAUCAGGAGAGCUAAAAGAGCUUUGUAACCCUUGCCUGAGCAGGGCAGAGGCCAGGCUGAGGGGUCAAGGGGCUUAGGGCCAGAAAGAGACCUGCCUGCAGGCACGGCUAAAAAGAGGCUGUCCUGAUCUAAAAACUAUCCUGAGUGUUCCUGAACCUGAAUUAUAAUGUUACUUCCCAAUAAACCGCAUAACUUUGAGUAUGGUCUGUGAGUUCUGUGUGGCCAUUGCAAUGAAUUACCAAACCCAGCAGAGAAGUAGAGAGUGCUGUGGGAGGGACGGUUGGUGUCAGAAUUGGUAAAGAUGGCAGAGGGAGGAGGUGUGUCUGACCUCUGCCUCAUAGGAAUCAGCCUUGGGCUGUUGAUCUUGAUUUUCCUUCCCACUUGUGAAGUUAGGAGAGGUCAGAUGCCACUGCGCUAUGGUGAUUUUAGAUCAAAAACUAUUUUCAGUUAUAUGAAAAUUAAAAUGUCUUGAAUAUAAAAAAAUGUGCAUAUUAUGGGAAGAGAGUUUUCUUCCAUUUAGGAUGUGGAAAGUCACAAGAGAAUGUAAUGCCCACCGUAACAAUGAGGAAAAAGCCUGGUAAUCUGCAAAAUCAUAAUAUUUCUUGAGCCUAUCAGAGAAUUGAGGUCAUAAGACGACCAAGUGAACUGAAUUUCCUAAAAAGACAGGCCCUUCUGAGGAACAAUAGGACUCAGAGACUGUUCCACCUUUGGCAGAGCAUGAGAGGAAGUGACAGCCACCAUAAAAGUGGAUAAGAAGAAAGCAGCUAACCUUUUACUGAAUUCUUAGAGUAACUGGGAGACCCAGACACAAAGGGAGUCUAUGCUCACUUGCAAGUUCUUUCCUACAUAGCUUUACCAGUGUUCAGAAAAAGAUUGGGAAGGACAAGAAAUUGGAGAGAGCCUUCCUUGAUUAAGUGCUACGACUGCUAACCAAAAGGUCAGCAGUUUGAAUCCACCAGGCACUCCUUGGAAACUCUAUGGGGCAGUUCUACCAUGUCUGUAGAGUCGCUGUGAGUCAGAAUCAAUUCCGUGGCAACAGGUUUGGUUCCUUCAGUGACGCAGUCACAAAAUCCUGCCCACUUUUACCAAACUUUCUCUCAUACGAAGCAAAAACCUUAAGCCGCUGGGAAAGAAAGAAUCCAUCCAUUCCCCCAGGAUCUAAGCAAAAAUCCAUUUGCUUCUAGGGAUGGAGUAGAAGCAAAAGCAGUCAUCCCUGGGGAAGGGGCAGCAGUGACUGCCGCUGCCUUCUACUUAGUGUGGGGCCUGGGGUGCUAGAAGGCUUUUCUCAGUGUCCCCCCACAAAUGUAAGGCACAGUUUGGCUUCCAUGGGGUCACGUGAGGAACAGAAAGCCCCACAUGCCAGGCAUGGGUGCACAGGGCCUGCCUAAAACUAAGACUCUGAUCUAGGAGAACCAAGAACAGUUAGCACUAACAACAGCAGUCUGCCACGGAGGGAGGGGCAAGAAUGUGGAGAGAGAAGCCCCUCUGUGGCACAGGCAUGCUGGACCUGCUGAAAACUGAAGGUGGAGCAGGACUAGUGAGAAAAACCUUCCGCACUCCAGGCUUCACACUAAGGACAAGGUAGCAGCUGUCCACUGCUGGAGGAAGGUACACAGCAACAACAAAACAAACCCAGCUAAACUGACUAGAUCAUCUGUUUUUGGAAUUUCAGUGGACUUGGUAAACUGACAGAAAAGCGGGCAUGCUCAUUUCCAGGAGUAAAUAUCCUUCUCAGUUUCUACUGUUAUUCUAUGUACAACACCUGGAGUUCAAUAAAACAUUACAAAAUAUAAAAAAGCAAGCAAAACAACAACCCCCCCACCCAACAACCCAUUUUCAAGAGAUAAAGCAAUCAACAGAAGCAGACCAAGAGGUGACUCAGAUAAUGGAACUAUCAGAUCGGGACCUUAAUUAUGAUUAAUAUGUUAAAGGUGGACCAUAUGUGUAAACAGAUGGGGAGCUUUAGCAGAGAAAUGUAAACUAUAAAGAGUCAAAUGAAAAUGCUAGAAAUAAAAAAUACAUAUAUUAGAAAGGCUUAUUGACAGACUAGACACAGAUGAGAAAGGAAUAAGUGAACUUGAAGGUGAUAAAUCAGUAGAAAUGAUCCAAAAUGAAAAGCAUGUAUAUAUAUGGCUUAACUUUUCAACUACCUAAAUAUCUCUAUUAAUGGAAAGAAGGGGCCAGCACAUGUCACCACUGCUAGCACUGCCAUUUCUCUUCAUUACUGUGUUCCUUUGUGCUUCUUGCUGCUCUUUGCUUUUUGUGCAGGAAGGCCAUAUCCCACUUGUCAGAAGAAGCCAGACUCUUUUGGUAGAACUUAAGACAACUUUUUUGUUGUUGUUGUUGUUAGGUGCCAUCCAAUUGAUUCCAACUCAUAGUGACUGCGUGUACAACGGAACAAAAUGUUACCCAGUCUUGCACCUUCCUCACAGUCGUUAUGCUUGAGCCCAUUGUUCCAGCCACUGUGUCAGUCUCUCUCAUUGAGGGUCUUCCUCUUUUUCACUGACCCUCUACUUUACCAAGCAUGAUGUCCUCCUCCAGGGACUGAUCCUUCCUGAUAACAUGUCCAAAAUACAUGAAUGAAGUCUUGCCGAUCUUGCUUCUUAAGAGCUUUCUGGCUGUACUUCUUCCAAGACAGAUUUGUUCGUUCUUCUGGCAGUCCAUCGUAUGUUCAAUAUUCUUCGCCAACAUCAUGAUUCAAAGGCGUCAGCUUAGUUAAAUCAGAAUACACUUCAGAUUAAACUAUUUUGUAUUUCUCAGAAUUGUAUGUCUCUAAACGGCUGAAACCAAUGGUACCUUAAUACUCCUGGUGCCUUGAUAUUCUCAUAUUUUUUAAUCAGUUUCUUAGGGACAUCCCUACUCCAAGUUGUAGCACCCUUUAUCUCAUCCCUUCUUGGUUUGAAAAUGUCAUUCCUGCAGUCCCAGGUGUUUACUGCCAGCACCAGAGUUGUCUUUACUGAUUAUUUUCUUGGCAGCCCAGGGAGGUCCUUGGGCUAUCGAGGUUUUGGAAAUCUUUUCUGAUGUCUCAGAGUUCUCAGGGCUCCAACCGGCAGGGAGACCCUCUAGUUAUUGUCUGGACCCUCCUUCCCUUCUCAUUCAGAUAUUUUGAAAGAGUUUCUACACUUUUGAUUGAAAGAGAGAGAGAAGCUCAGCCGUGUUUUUGUUCUUAAUGUGGUGGUCCUUCAUAUUUGCUUAAGGAAUCUACAGAAUGUUUUGAAAGACAAAAAAAAGAAAGAAAGAAAGAAAGAAACAAUCUGUCCAUCAAGAGGAGAACGGGCGAAUGAGUUUUGGUGGACUAUUUAUCGGAAUAAAAUUCAACAGUAAAUUAUAGAGCUGCUUCUAUCAACACGGGUCAAUCAAUCUCAAAAACAAUGUUGAACAAAAAAAGUUUCAGAAGCAUUUUUAUAAAAUGAAAACUGGUGGAUAUUCUUCUGGAUUUUAAACGCCAAAUUCAGAAUAAUGAUCAAGUCUGAAGAAUUAGAGAGGAAAAUGGGAACUUCACGGGUUAGAGAGGAUUUUCAAAAUAUCUGAUACAGCCAUGACAAGUCAUGAGGUAGUUGUGGGAAAAAGGCAAAUUACUGUAAAGUUACCUGUGGACUAGGACUGGAAAACUCUUUGGAAUCUUAGACAGCUCCAGGGACUGACUACCUCCUCUACUUGUCUCUCAUGGCCUCUGGACUCUAACCAAGGAGAAAUUAUUGUAACUGAGUUGCUUAAUCACCAUGAGAGGGAGUGCUGUUAUUGCAAAGACCAUGUUUGGGGCAUGGAUCCCCGGGUCAGGGCAGCAAGAUGUUUUGGCACAAAGCAGUGUCUCUCAGAAGGAUACAGCAGGUGCCGGAGGGCAAGCAGAGGCUAAGGCACGGUCCUCAACCUACUGCUGAUUGCCCCCUUGGCAUUGUGGGUACAGCUCCUUCACAGCGUGUACCCGGAGGCAUUGCGAUGAUUAAGUUCUGCCUCUCUUACCAGCUGUUAGCUCUUCAAGCACUCAUUCUCCACCAUAUACAAGAUGCUUGGGAACCCUGGUGGUGUAGUGGUUAAGAGCUACCGCUGCUAACCAAAAGGUCAGCAGUUCGAAUCCACCAGGUGCUCCUUGGUAAACCCUAUGGGGCAGUUCUACUGUGUCCUGUAGGGUUGCUAUGAGUUGGAAUUGACCCAGUGGGUCUGUCUUUUUUGUUGUUGUUGUUGCUAGGUGCCUAAUAAAUGUCUAUGGAAUGUCUCUUUCCAACAAAAUUAGUUUAAAAAAAAAAAGUGUAAUUAUACCUUGGUGUGUGAAAUAUGGAGUCCCUGAGUGGUGCAAAAGGUUAAUGCACUCGGCUGCUAACAGAAAAAUUGGAGACUUAGGGCACCUCAGAAGAAAGACUGGAUAGUCCACUUCUGAAAAAUGAGACACUGAAAACCCUACAGAGCACAGUUCUGCUGUGACACACGCAAGGUCACCAUGAGUCACAAUUGGCUCGACAGCAACUGGCACAUAAAUAUGUGACCAAAUAGGACCUUUUUAAUAACUAAUAGAUGUGUUACACAUUAGAACAAUAGUUCUCAAACUUUAAUGUGCAUCAGAAUCACCCUGGAGGAAUAAUUUAAUAAUAACACAAUGUGUGUGUCUGUGUUUUAAACAAAAACACAGAUUGCUGGGUCCUACCCUAGAGUUUCUGAUUCAAUAGGUCUAGGGGCCCAUAAUUUGCAUUUCUAACAAGUUCCCAGGUGAUGCUGAUGCUGCUGGUCCAGAGACCACACAUUGAGAAUCGGAGCAUUAGAAAAACCCUGAAAAUAAACGUGGCAACACCUAAUGAAAAUAACAAAAUCACAUAUCCCUUUCCCCCCAAAUAUAGUACCUUUGGGAAUGCCCUCUAAAGAAAACAAACAAAAAAUGAAAGGAAAUUAUUUAACUAUAACACUAACACGUUUUGCUACUAUGUCCAGUUGCAAAUAGAAUAUCAGCCCUUGCUUCCUAAUAUGUAAAAAUGGGGAUAAUAAAACCAAAAAACCCAAACAUGUUGCCGUCAAGUCAAUUCUGACUCAUAGCGACCCUAUAGGACAGAGUAGAACUGCCCCAUAGAGUUUCCAAGGAGAGGCUGGUGGAUUUAAACUACUGACCUUUUGGUUAGCAGCCAUAGCACUUAACCACUGCACCACCAGGGUUUCCAAUCUAGAGGUACCUCACAGGUUGUUGGGAGAAUUGAAUUAAUUAACGUAAGUAUUUGGAACAGUUUCAGGUUUAACACAUGUCAGCUCCUAUUAGAGUUUUGGUUUAAGAGAUUUAAAAACUAACCACAGAAAAGAGAGAGGUCUGUCUGAGCAGAAGACAUCAAUUUGGGAGUCAUUAAGAUAUAAGAGGUCAACAAGAGAAAGCUCUGAAAAACAACAACAAAAGACACUGAAUAUAUUUUCCCUUACUUGUGAACCUGAAAUUGUAUCUUAGAAGCCAAAAUCCUUCUUGGUUUUGCAUUUGAGAGUUUACUCUUUGAUAGGUAACUUCACAUAAAAAUAUUUGCAUUGACUGAAGCGCAGAUGAGAACUGCAGGGGGCAGAGAGUCCAAAUGAAUGGUGAUGAAACAAUACGGGUAGAGAAAGCGAGACGGCUGGCACAAUGUAGGAUGUGUUACCAAUGUCAUUGAAUUCUGUGUGUGGAAAUUGUGAAGGGAUGUAUGUUUGGUUGUGUAUAUUGCCAUGAAAACAAUAAAAAUAAAUAACAUUUUUGCAUGAAUAGUUCAUAUUUUUAUUUUCUAAAGUGAAAAUAACUUUCAUUGACUUUCUUAGUUAUAAAUAUAUUUGAGCCAAAAUACAUUAAAAAAAAAAACAUAAAAGAAGAAAAGUUCUUGAAAUCCCCCCUCCAGAGGGUUAACUGCCGCCAAAGUUUUUAUUCAUACCCUUUAAGGCCUCUCUGUAUAUAGCGAAGCGUUUAAGCAGAGUAUUAUGGAAGGAAAGGUCAGGAGAUGAUGAUGAACGAUUUACAUUAAAAAAAAAUAAUAAAUAUUAAUAUUUCCAAAGUAAUAUUAUCAAAAGCUUUUUUUUCCCUUCUUUUUGCUGACUUGAUGGGGACAGGAAGGUACGGUUCUUUCUCCCUCUUUGCCCCCACCCACCACAUUUUUAUUCCAUGGUAUCGUUGUUGUCAUUAGGUGUCCUGGAGUCAGUUCUGACUCACAGCAACCCUACGUACGACAGAAUAAACCACUGCCCAGUCCUGCGCCGUCCUCGCAAUCAUUGCUGUGCCUGAGCCCAUCCUCGCAGCCAUUGUGGCAGUCCGUCUCGUUGAGGGUCUUCCUUUCUCUCCAGGACCCUCUACUUUUAGUAUUGCAUUCGCUACUCUUUCCUACAUUGGAAGCAGUGGGGAUAGGAAACUUUGUGAGCUUGAACACAAAAGACAACAGCCAGGCCUUGAAUUCCAUCCUGCAAUUAUUGUGAUAUCAUGCUAAUGGUUUAAAAUUUUUAUUUAAAAGACCUGUAAUAAUGGAGAUGAUUCCAGCCACCAUUAUAAAGCAGUAUAUUGAGAUAUUCUAGAAAAACAGUAAAAAGCAGUGCUUUGUCUACUGCAUUUUCCCUGAUGCCCUCUUCUUUCCCACUCCGUCUCCUGUACCUUUCUUCUCAACUCUGAACCACCACUGCAUUCUCUUUCUAGAUGUUUUAUAACUCAGAUUGCGAAAUGUUAUUUUUUUCCUUCUGCCCUGAAAACAGCUUCUGAGAGUAAGAUAGGUGACUGGGCUGGAGU